UACGUAGGGUGCAAGCGUUGUCCGGAAUUAUUGGGCGUAAAGAGCUCGUAGGCGGUUUGUCGCGUCUGCUGUGAAAAUCCAGGGCUUAACCCUGGACCUGCAGUGGGUACGGGUAGACUAGAGUGCGGUAGGGGAGAUCGGAAUUCCUGGUGUAGCGGUGAAAUGCGCAGAUAUCAGGAGGAACACCGGUGGCGAAGGCGGAUCUCUGGGCCGUAACUGACGCUGAGGAGCGAAAGCAUGGGGAGCGAACAGG
rnacentral:rRNA from 1 species